GCAUGGCUGUCGUCAGCUCGUGUCGUGAGAUGUUGGGUUAAGUCCCGCAACGAGCGCAACCCUUGCCAUUAGUUGCUACGAAAGGGCACUCUAAUGGGACUGCCGGUGACAAACCGGAGGAAGGUGGGGAUGACGUCAAGUCCUCAUGGCCCUUAUAGGUGGGGCUACACACGUCAUACAAUGGCUGGUACAGAGGGUUGCCAACCCGCGAGGGGGAGCUAAUCCCAUAAAGCCAGUCGUAGUCCGGAUCGCAGUCUGCAACUCGACUGCGUGAAGUCGGAAUCGCUAGUAAUCGCGGAUCAGAA
rnacentral:rRNA from 1 species